AAAAUAUUUAGAUGCACUAUUGUAAAGUGGUUGUUCCACUGAAUAUCAUAAGGUGAAUGCACCAUUUUGUAAGUCGCUCUGGAUAAGAGCGUCUGCUAAAUGACUUAAAUGUAAAUGUAAUGUUUUGACUGAUAUUCUACAGUAAUGUUUUGGACUGAUAUAAUACAGUAAUGUUUUGGACAGAUAUAAUACAGUAAUGUUUUGGACUGAUAUAAUACAGUAAUGUUUUGGACUGAUAUUCUACAGUAAUGUUUUGGACUGAUAUUCUACAGUAAUGUUUUGACUGAUAUUCUACAGUAAUGUUUUGGACUGAUAUUCUACAGUAAUGUUUUGGACUGAUAUUCUACGGUAAUGUUUUGGACUGAUAUAAUACGGUAAUGUUUUGGACUGAUAUAAUACGGUAAUGUUUUGGACUGAUAUAAUACGGUAAUGUUUUGACUGAUAUUCUACGGUAAUGUUUUGACUGAUAUUCUACAGUAAUGUUUUGGACUGAUAUUCUACAGUAAUGUUUUGGACUGAUAUUCUACAGUAAUGUUUUGGACUGAUAUUCUACAGUAAUGUUUUGGACUGAUAUUCUACAUAAUGUUUUGGACUGAUGUUCUACAGUAAUGUUUUGGACUGAUGUUCUACAGUAAUGUUUUGACUGAUAUUCUACAGUAAUGUUUUGACUGAUAUUCUACAGUAAUGUUUUGACUGAUAUUCUACAGUAAUGUUUUGGACUGAUAUUCUACAGUAAUGUUUUGGACUCAUAUAUUACAGUAAUGUUUUGGACUGAUAUUCUACAGUAAUGUUUUGGACUGAUAUUCUACAGUAAUGUUUUGGACUCAUAUAUUACAGUAAUGUUUUGACUGAUAUUCUACAGUAAUGUUUUUUACUUAAAUUUUACAGUAAUGCCUACUUGGUACUCUCAAAGCACUAGUUUAAUAUGUCAUUUUCACGUUGGAUUCUCCUGGUAAUGAACUGUUAACAACCAGCGGGGAAAAUAUGUAUUGUAUAAUACCGAUUGUAUACUGUAAAUGUUUGUGUGUUUAAAUAUACAGUGUGGUUUUUUUUUGUGCCGUAGCCUAGCGUGCCAGGCUCACAGCAUGACAACAGGAAUUAUAUUAAUUUGUUUAAUUCUUCCAUAUAUUUUUUUAUACUACACUUCAUGACUCAGUGGUUGUACAUUUAAACGUUGACAGGAAGACACUUCAGGAAAAAGCCCCAAGGCGUUGUAAAAAAUACUCAACUCAAAACCCACACGUUUUUUUAUCACACCUAUGAAUUAGUCCUUAUUAUAUUUAUCUUAAUGUGGAUGUAGAGUUUCUCUUCUCCAACUUAGUCUUAACGUAGUGUUUUCAACGGCUCUGAGACGUCCAUUUAUUUGCGUUGUGCUGUUGAAGGUAUUAGCAGAAUGGCUGCUGUGUGUAUUUCACUGUGUUGUGUAUCUUGUGAGAGACAGACGGUAUGUUGUUAAGAGUGUUAGUCCUCCACACGGUUGUAAACAAGAAUGUAACAUGUUAUGUUUUAUUUUGAUCUACCUUCCGUGAUACAUGGGAGAAUGAUAUAUUAAAGAAAUGUAUUCUCUCUCUCUCUGUCUCUCUCUCUGUCUCUCUCUCUCUCUCUUUCUCCCUCUCUCCCUCUCUCUCUCUCUCUCUUUCUCUCUUUCUGUCUCUCUCUCUUUGUCUCUUUCUGUCUCUCUCUUUCUGUCUCUGUCUCCGUCUCUCCCUCUCUUUCUGUCUCUCUCUUUCUCUCUCUCUCUCUGUCUCCCUCUCUCCCUCUCUGUCUCUCUGUCUUUCUGUCUCUCCCUCUCUCUCUGUCUCUCUCUUUCUCUCUCUCUCUGUCUCCCUCUCUCUGUCUUUCUCUCUCUCUCUUUCUCUCUCUCCCUCUCUCUCUCUCUCUCGCUCUCUUUCUGUCUCUCUCUUUCUCUCUCUCUUUCUGUCUCUCUCUCUGUCUCCCUCUCUCAAUUCAAUUCAAUUCAAUUGACAUGGCAAGUUCAUUAUUACUUACAUUGUCAAAGUAUACAUAUAGAAAAAUAAUAUAAUAGUAGUAGUGGACAUGGGAUUACCAUUAACAACAACUACAAUAUUAAUCAGAACAACAAUACAUUAAAGCGAUGGUAGUAGACCAGUGUCAACAUGACUGAGAAGACACAUGACCUGGUAUGAAAGACAAAACAAAACUACAUGGGAAAUAUUAUCCACAUUACAUUGCACUUUUCACCGGCUGUCCCUCAGGGUUGUGACAGGAGGACACAUAUUUGGCUGCCAAAAACUGCACAUUUUGGCGUUUCAC
rnacentral:lncRNA from 1 species